UCAACGAGUCGGGUUGUUUGGGAAUGCAGCCCAAAUUGGGCGGUAGACUCCAUCCAAGGCUAAAUACAGGCGAGAGACCGAUAGCGAACAAGUACCACGAGGGAAAGAUGAAAAGGACUUCGAAAAGAGAGUCAAAGAGUGCUUGAAAUUUCCGGGAGGGAAGCGGAUGGGGGCCGGCGAUGCGCCCCGGCCGUAUGCGGAACGGCUCUUGCUGGUCCGCCGCUCGGCUUGGGGUGUGGACUGUUGUCGGCCGCGCCGGCAGCCAAAGACUGGGGGCCCUAGGUGCCCCCGGUGGCCGUCGUCGGCACGGCCAGUACCCGCGCGCUGAAAGGCGUGUCCCUCGGGGCAUGGCACUGCAACGGCCUGCGGGCUCCCCAU
rnacentral:rRNA from 1 species